rnacentral:rRNA from 1 species
UACGUAGGGGCGAGCGUUGUCCGGAGUUACUGGGCGUAAAGCGCACGCAGGCGGUCUGCUAAGUUUGGAGUGACAGUUGGUGGCUUAACUGCCAAAGUGCUUCGAAAACUGACAGACUUGAGGGCUUCAGGAGGGACACGGAAUUCCGGGUGGAGUGGUGAAAUGCGUAGAGAUCCGGAGGAACACCAAAGGCGAAGGCAG